UACGUAGGUGGCAAGCGUUGUCCGGAAUUAUUGGGCGUAAAGCGCGCGCAGGCGGAUCAGUCAGUCUGUCUUAAAAGUUCGGGGCUUAACCCCGUGAUGGGAUGGAAACUACUGAUCUAGAGUAUCGGAGAGGAAAGUGGAAUUCCUAGUGUAGCGGUGAAAUGCGUAGAUAUUAGGAAGAACACCAGUGGCGAAGGCGACUUUCUGGACGAAAACUGACGCUGAGGCGCGAAAGCCAGGGGAGCGAACGGG
rnacentral:rRNA from 1 species